rnacentral:tRNA from 13 species
UCCCCAGUGGCGAAAGUGGUUAGCGCACGGUACUUAUACAGCGGUAUUUGUGAGUAAUGCCGAGGCUGUGUGUUCGAACCUCCCCUGAGGAA